GACGAACGCUGGCGGCGUGCUUAACACAUGCAAGUCGAACGGGCUCUGUCUGGCUGUGUGCUGGGUGGGGUUAGUGGCGAACGGGUGAGUAAUACGUGAGUAACCUGCCCUCUUCUUUGGGAUAAGCCUUGGAAACGGGGUCUAAUACUGGAUAUUCCUGUCUGGUCGCAUGGCUGGGUGGGGAAAGUUUUUUUCGGUGGGGGAUGGGCUCGCGGCCUAUCCGCUUGUUGGUGGGGUGAUGGCCUACCAAGGCGUCGACGGGUAGCCGGCCUGAGAGGGUGACGGGGGAGAGUGGGAGUGGGGGACGGCGCAGACUCUGACGGGAGGCAGCAGGGGGGGAGAUUGGAGAAUGGGCGAAAGCCUGAUGCAGCGAGGCCGCGUGGGGGAUGACGGCUUUCGGGUUGUAAACCUCUUUCGUCGGGGGACAAGGCUCUGCUUGGUGGUGGGGUUGAGGGUACCCGGUGAAGAAGCGCCGGCUAACUACGUG
rnacentral:rRNA from 1 species